UACGUAGGAGGCAAGCGUUGUCCGGAAUUACUGGGCGUAAAGCGCGUGUAGGUGGCCACGCGAAGUCGGGAUGUGAAAUCUCCCGGCUCAACUGGGAGGGGUCAUUCGAUACUGGCGGGCUCGAGGCCGGUAGGGGAAGCGGAAUUCCCGGUGUAGUGGUGGAAUGCGGUAGAUAUCGGGAGGAACACCAGUGGCGAAGGCGGCUUCCUGGACCGGUUCUGGACACUGAGGAGCGAAAGCGUGGGGAGCGAGUC
rnacentral:rRNA from 1 species